UCCAGGUGAGUGAUCCUUGAUUUCAAUCUAGGAUACAAAUCACAAAAGCAUGAGAAUUACUACUCCUGGUCACGCCCAUCUUCGCGGUAACUUGGAAGGGGAAGGAAGUGUUGAUGUAGUACUUACUUAGUGAGAGCUUCCCGACUCAGCGACCCCGCAUAAGUACCAUGGAGUUGGAUAUUGGGGAAGGUUUUCGUUGGGUCCAUGAUUUGCCUGUAGCUGAUAAUGUGACCAUGGUAGAUCUUACAAACCACGCAAACGUGUCUACCCAGCAUUACGGGGAAGGACAGGUCAUUUUAUUUCAUCAUUAGUAAGUAAAUAAGACAUUUUCCAAAAUUAUAAUAUUUCCAUUCCAGGUUAAAGUAAUGUUGGUUUGUUUUGUGUGCUGACUUGUAUCGAAAUUGGUGCUUUCUUUGGCAUGUAUGUUUUCUGUAAAAGAAAAAAGGCCAUUUUCAGAAGUUAGAGAACGAUGGUAACAUAGAGGAGAUCAAAAAUACCGAAUACCUGUAUUGAAACCGCUACUCGUUGGAUGCAAAAAAUGCUUUAAUACCUAGUAACCCUACUAAUUUAUAGACCGAUAACCUUCUGGACCAAACAGGUCAGCAUCAGAAUGAGUCCGUUUCGUCCGAGGUUUGAUCUUGCGAUCUGGACAGAAUCGGAAAACUAUCAGCCAUGCCACCCGUUUAACUACAUCAACUAAACCUUCGAUUUUGUUUGUUUUUAUUAUGUUCUAUACCGACCAAUCCACAGAUUUAGUCUGAUCUGCUCUUUGGUAAAAUUUAAUAAACAGAUUAAAUACUA